AUACGUAGGGGGCGAGCGUUGUCCGGAAUGAUUGGGCGUAAAGGGCGCGUAGGCGGCGCGGUAAGUCUGGAGUGAACGUCCUGCUUUCAAGGUGGGAAUUGCUUUGGAUACUGCCGCGCUUGAGUGCAGGAGAGGUUAUCGGAAUUCCCGGUGUAGCGGUGAAAUGCGUAGAGAUCGGGAGGAACACCAGUGGCGAAGGCGGGUAACUGGACUGCAACUGACGCUGAGGCGCGAAAGUGUGGGGAGCAAACAGGAUUAGAUACCCUGGUAGUCCACACUGUAAACGAUGAAUGCUAGGUGUAAGAGGUAUCGACCCCUUUUGUGCCGGAGUCAACACAAUAAGCAUUCCGCCUGGGGAGUACGUCCGCAAGGUUGAAACUCAAAUGAAUUGACGGGG
rnacentral:rRNA from 1 species